rnacentral:rRNA from 1 species
CGGCCACAUUGGGACUGAGACACGGCCCAGACUCCUACGGGAGGCAGCAGUGGGGAAUAUUGCACAAUGGGGGAAACCCUGAUGCAGCGACGCCGCGUGGAGGAAGAAGGUCUUCGGAUUGUAAACUCCUGUUGUUGAGGAAGAUAAUGACGGUACUCAACAAGGAAGUGACGGCUAACUACGUGCCAGCAGCCGCGGUAAAACGUAGGUCACAAGCGUUGUCCGGAAUUACUGGGUGUAAAGGGAGCGCAGGCGGGAAGACAAGUUGGAAGUGAAAUCUAUGGGCUCAACCCAUAAACUGCUUUCAAAACUGUUUUUCUUGAGUAGUGCAGAGGUAGGCGGAAUUCCCGGUGUAGCGGUGGAAUGCGUAGAUAUCGGGAGGAACACCAGUGGCGAAGGCGGCCUACUGGGCACCAACUGACGCUGAGGCUCGAAAGUGUGGGUAGCAAACAGGAUUAGAUACCCUGGUAGUCCACACCGUAAACGAUGAUUACUAGGUGUUGGAGGAUUGACCCCUUCAGUGCCGCAGUUAACACAAUAAGUAAUCCACCUGGGGAGUACGACCGCAAGGUUGAAACUCAAAGGAAUUGACGGGGGCCCGCACAAGCAGUGGAGUAUGUGGUUUAAUUCGACGCAACGCGAAGAACCUUACCAAGUCUUGACAUCCUGCGACGAUGCUGGAAACAGUAUUUUCCUUCGGGACGCAGAGACAGGUGGUGCAUGGUUGUCGUCAGCUCGUGUCGUGAGAUGUUGGGUUAAGUCC